GACGAACGCUGGCGGCGUGCUUAACACAUGCAAGUCGAACGGAAAGGCCUGCUUUCCCUUGUGGAUUGCGGGUACUCGAGUGGCGAACGGGUGAGUAACACGUGAGUGAUCUGCCCCCAACUUGGGUAUAAGCCUGGGAAACUGGGUCUAAUUCCCGAUAGGACUGCAGGGUGGUGCCUGUGGUGGAAAACGAUUUUCUAGUGGUGGGGGAUGAGCUCGCGGCCUAUCAGCUUGUUGGUGGGGUAAUGGCCUACCAAGGCGGCGACGGGUAGCCGGCCUGAGAGGGUGGACGGCCACAUUGGGACUGAGAUACGGCCCAGACUCCUACGGGAGGCAGCAGUGGGGAAUAUUGCACAAUGGGCGGAAGCCUGAUGCAGCGACGCCGCGUGGGGGAUGACGGCCUUCGGGUUGUAAACUCCUUUCGACCGCGAGGAAGCCACCUGGUUGGAAGGGUGGUGACGGUAGUGGUAGAAGAAGCACCGGCUAACUACGUG
rnacentral:rRNA from 1 species